UUCGGAUAGGGAAACAGCAAA
ensembl:piRNA 21ur-12048 ncRNA